rnacentral:rRNA from 1 species
CCUACGGGAGGCAGCAGUGGGGAAUCUUGCGCAAUGGCCUAACGGCUGACGCAGCGACGCCGCGUGUGGGAUGAAGCUCUUCGGAGUGUAAACCACUGUUGCCCGGGACGAAUAGCUCGAUUAAUCGAGCCUGACGGUACCGGGUGAGGAAGCACCGGCUAACUCCGUGCCAGCAGCCGCGGUAAUACGGGGGGUGCAAGCGUUGUCCGGAAUCACUGGGCGUAAAGGGCGCGUAGGUGGUCUGAUAAGGGUGUGGUGAAAGUCCGGGGCUCAACCCCGGAUCUGCCGUGCCGACUGUCAGACUCGAGGACUGUAGAGGCAGACGGAAUUCCGGGUGUAGCGGUGGAAUGCGUAGAGAUCCGGAGGAAGACCGGUGGCGAAGGCGGUCUGCUGGGCAGCUUCUGACACUGAGGCGCGACAGCGUGGGGAGCAAACAGGAUUAGAUACCCUGGUAGUCCACGCCGUAAACGAUGGGUACUAGGUGCCUGGGGGAGCGACCCUCUGGGUGCCGGCGCUAACGCAGGAAGUACCCCGCCUGGGGAGUACGACCGCAAGGUUGAAACUCAAAGGAAUUGACGG